UCUGAAGCUGAAUCCUCAGGCAUUUGUGGCCCGUCCUUGCAGCCUGGUCCUGCUCUGGCCCUUGGAAAGGCAUCGCUGGCUGUGGAGCUGCUGCAGCUCGCCCGAGGUCUGAGCCUGUGGAUUCAGCAUGGAGCCCUCAUCCCCAGCAGCCACUGGAGCCCGUGGAUUCAGCAUGGAGCCCUCAUCUCCAGCAGCCAGGUGGAGCAGCCCACUGACAAAAGGGAGUUUGGUGCAUGACUGCAAGAUUCACCAGGGCCUCUUCCACAGCCGCAUAUCAGCCUGGAGGUAGUCACCCUGUCAGGAGUGUAAAAUUUACAGCAGAAAUUAUUUUAAUGCUGGAAAAGCUCUUACUCAUCUGAACCAUCAUUCAAAAUGCACAGUGAAAGUCGCCAAGGAGAAGUUUUCCAUCCCACUGUCUGCAGGACUCCUGCAGGUCUUCUGAUGCUUAAGCAUAUGUGUCUCAGGCUGCCCCUAAAAAUAAAAUGAAGUAAUCUGGCAAAAUGAACUCAGAGCACACAAAGAGGAACCACUGGAGACUGAUCUGCAAGAUAUUCAGGUGUUGCUGUUGAGCAGAAAUUGGAAGGAAACUGUGAGGGUCAAGAGAUUGAGAAAAUGGUCCUGCCCAUCAUCAUAGGAAACCAUGAACCUCUCCACUCUGGGACAGGAGUGACCUGCAGUGACCAGCUCUGUGCCUUAGGAGCAUUAGCUGUACUUCUCAAAUAAGUUUCCCUGAUGACAUGCAAAUCAGAAUCUGUCAACCAUUGGCUGUUCCAGAUAUGAUGUCAAAGCCAACAAGGGAGAAUUGAUGUAGUAUUACUCAAAAGCAGAAGUAUUUUGAAACAGAAAGAAUGACUUACUGGGGAACCAGGUUAAAAACUAAAGAAGUGAAGAUUGGUCAUCUCUGCAGAGGAAAUUACAAG